GCUCCCUUCAGGAGCACAUGUACUACAGGAGAAUGUUACAGAGAUGACCAGCAUGUCUCUUGUACAAAGGAGACACCCAAAUCUGUAAAGUGUUCCAUAUUUUC